GAUGAAUGCUGGCGGCGUGCUUAACACAUGCAAGUCGAACGGAAAGGCCCAAGCUUGCUUGGGUACUCGAGUGGCGAACGGGUGAGUAACACGUGGGUGAUCUGCCCUGCACUUCGGGAUAAGCCUGGGAAACUGGGUCUAAUACCGGAUAGGACGAUGGUUUGGAUGCCAUUGUGGAAAGUUUUUUCGGUGUGGGAUGAGCUCGCGGCCUAUCAGCUUGUUGGUGGGGUAAUGGCCUACCAAGGCGUCGACGGGUAGCCGGCCUGAGAGGGUGUACGGCCACAUUGGGACUGAGAUACGGCCCAGACUCCUACGGGAGGCAGCAGUGGGGAAUAUUGCACAAUGGGCGCAAGCCUGAUGCAGCGACGCCGCGUGGGGGAUGACGGCCUUCGGGUUGUAAACUCCUUUCGCUAGGGAAGAAGCGUUUUUGUGACGGUACCUGGAGAAGAAGCACCGGCUAACUACGUG
rnacentral:rRNA from 1 species